GAUAGCUAAGUCGCUUCUGAAAGAGCGUUUUAUAGCUCAGUGGGCCUUACCUUAUUAAAUAAAUAAAUAGCUCUGUUUAUACUCUUUCUUCUCCCACUCUCAUUUCACUUUCAGGAUGGCAAGCUGUAAAACUUUAAACCUGUCAGCAAUAUGUAACACUUAUGCUCGUCCUCCAGAUGGCUUGCCUGUUCAACACGCUUUGUUUAACAUUUAUGUUGUGUUGUAUUACUAAUUCACAUUGGUGUAACGUGUGCGAUUUUUAACUCUCUAAUACGCCUACCGGCUGUCUGCGGGUAAGUCUGUUCUGUUUUUUCGCUUGCUAAUUCGCAGGUGGAUGGCUACGCUGAUUAUCGGCUGCUCUGGUGCUUUGACAAUGUCAGUUUUAACGUGACACUUAACAGUUUUAAUAUUCAUAUUUAAUUAUCGCUCAUUUGCAGACUUUCACAAGCGACUCAAUAACAUACCCAUUUUCAUUGCUUGUUGCAGAUUUGUUUAAUUGGCAAUUAACUUUUUUUUACACAAACUAAAAUCUGAAUUACUGGCACACGGUAACAUUCUAGAGCGAGUAUCAUCACGCACGGCUGUAGUCUAAGAAUAGGAAUUACGAUUGGCCACGUACGGUGCGAAAGAAGUUCAACAUACAAACGUACAUACAUAUAUACCUUGCCGUACUUGCCAACAUUCAGGCCUUAACGUUCCCUCUUACGGGCAGUGCCCCGACUUACGAACGGGUUCUGUUCCCUAGACCUACUCUGACUUACGAACCGUUCGACUUAUGAACCGGUCUCGCGAACGGAAGGUCAGAACACAAUAAUGUACUCUGUUUAAAUGCACAUACGGUCAGUGUUAUGAAAUGUGAAACGGUUCAACAAAAAAAGGAAGCAUUGUUUUACUCAUAGAUAAGAAUAAAUAUUGUACAUUUGCCGAAGUAAAUAUGUCCGUAAGUGCGCGUUUGUAAGUGCAGAUGUCUGCAAGUCGGCUGUUUGUAAGUCAGGGACUGCUUGUACUCCACACAAGCUGGUGCUUUGCAAGGUUGCCGUCCGUCGUGGGAAUUGAACGAUCAAUCUCAGGACGCAACUGUGACCCAGACUUACUUAUUACGCGCCACAUUGUAACGAGCCUAUUUCACGGUUAAUUAUUUGUUUAAUAAGCAGCGUUCGAUAACAUUUCUGCAAUACGGUAAAACGCCACGUUCCUCCGACGCGUUCACAGGAUGUACCGCGUUUUUUUUUUUGCGUUUGGCACGACGCUUCACUGCGCAUUGCUGGGAGCUGCCACAGGAGCCGACGCCGAGUUUGGCCUGCGGGCAAAACGUCGGGGCCUUCUGAACGCCGCCGCACAGACGAUUCGGCCCACGCCACGGAUCGGUGCGGCUGCGAAAACCCAGCGCAGUGGCGACACGUGCGCUCGCGCGUGAACCAAGCGAACGGACUAACGUGCGCGCACGUAAGCCUUCAUUGUUGUCAUUCUGGUGCCAUGGUUUUUUGGCGCAGUAGUUUGCGCGGGGUAAGACAAAGACGCGCCCUCUCGUCCUCCGCGCAGCGACAAUGACCUUGGCUGUAAACGGUGCCAGCAAUCAGCCGCACACCUGCAGUGGCUCUGGAGCGACGUGCAAAAAAGUGUCAGAAGCCGGUGGAAAGAGAGGACCUCACUCUGGGUGUCUAGCACGAGCUCCUGGCUACACAUCAAUACAAACAUUAAAUGAAGGGUGGGGAGGGGGGAAUCCUCAUUGCCACGCUUUCCAUGGAUUUUUUUGGUUAAUAAUUGCACGUCGUCUUGAUCCUUGAUCUUUUACUGAACCGCCGACUUAACUUGCCAUCUGCCUGAAGUGCGACCUUCACGUUAAGUUUAAUAGAAGAAACGCUGUAACAAUUUGUAUUGUUCACGUUGCUCCAGAGUGCUCUCCGGCGUGAUGCUCGAUGCUCUGCUCCGCGUCCUGUGAGCCUUUUCUGUUCCCAAAGAACCUUGGUUUCCUGAAAAAGGCUCCCAACGCGUCCAGCGAAAACGUCGGAUGUUGUGCCGAACGAUGCGCGGUACGACGUGAAAACAAAUCGGAGAGCUGCCCGGUUGACAACCACGAACACCCACGCGGUUGAAAACUAAUUUCAAAGAUUGAAAACUCGUUUAUUAAGAACUGCUUUUUGUGCUGUUCAUUUUGUUUGUUGUCCUCUUCCCCCGCACCUCCGAUCAGCAAGGUCGGCUACGUACGGCGCGGAAGAAUUUCGACACAAACAUACGCGGCGAUACAAACAAAAGACCAUGUGGAGCCCAGCAUCCUAGGUUUGGCGUAGCGAGCACGCCAGCCCGACGUCCAGAGUGCCGCAACCGCUUCCCUGCCCCCCCCCACCCCGCCCCUAAACUGAAGAGGCCGGUGAACGAUGGUGCCGUGGCGACCGGGGAGAAGAUGGAGGACCGGUUUCCACGGCGACCGUGGAGCUCCCAUGAUGCCUUGCGCCGCAACCAAUCGCAGGUGAGAGAUGCUGCGCGGCGUUCGGACCCACGACGGUGACGGUGCGCAUCACUCGGCCAAACGCGGAGGCGGCGGUGGCGGCGGCGGCGGCGGCGGUGGCGGCGGUGGCGGUAGCGGCUCAACGGCAGAAGAGGGUCCGAGCCCGCAAGCGGAAAAUCAUGGCGGAGGGCGCGCAAAACGCGGCCGAAAAACGGCGAGGCGGCACGAAGCGAGCGGACGAAGCCCCACCACGGUGGACGCGUCGCAAAGGGGGGCAGAAGAGGAGGCGGAGGAGGAGGAGGAGGAGGAGAGAAAAAAUCCAUUUAGGGCAAACGGAGUGGAGAAACAGGGGGUCGUAUGACAUUAAGCCGAGAAGACGAGCAUGCUGGGUCAUGGAAUUUUCUCACGUUGGAACAUCGCCGCACCUUCAUCCGCGCCAUCCGCGGAAGAUUCCUGCUUUCGCUGGAUUUGCGCGCCGAGCGGCGACGUUGGACACGGGACUCCAGCUUUGUAGCUCAUCGGAUUACUCCUUGCUCUGCAUCACGUUGAUGGAUGUAACUUCUUCGGUGGCGAGUCAAGAGUUCAACUGCAAUGCAUCCUUUCCAAAAUAGAAUUCACAAAAAAAUAUAUUCCCGGUGGUUCGGGGUGCUGGCCCGGUUCAGAUACAUUACUCACCAAUGGUGUUCGCCUUAUCCGGGAAUUGAACUCGGGUAGGCUGGGUUCAUAACGCAGCGGCGUUGACCAUCCAUUUCGGUUGCUCGUUUCUACAACGUUUGUUGUCCUUCCCACGCACCUCCGCUUAGCACGGUUGGCUACGUACGGUGCUAAAGAACACACAUACACACAUACAUACACGCUGCAGAGGGACUGCUGAGUUGCAGGCGGUGCUGUCAAAUAGGAAAGUUACAGCGGGGGGAGACGCGUUCUCGGCUACAGAGUCACCAACAUAACAAUGCAGGUGACGGGAAGGUGGGGGGUGGGGCGAGAUAAAACGUCAAAGCUCCACGCACACCGUAAAAAAAUCCAUCUCGAAAGCAGCAGCAGAGAGCUUCGCGUCUUUUGUUGUUGUUGUUUUCACGGCCUCCCUCUCUGGAGGAUCGCUCGCCGGAAUCAAACACCCGGGCUCCUGAUGUCGGGGGGGGUAUCGAGCCGUCGUGCGGAGUAAACACGAGUUUACGGUUGAAGAAGUAGCAACGCCGCCAGAUUAAACCCCCUCGCCUUUGAUUUUUUUCUCUCCCCCACCACCCCCCCCCCCUAAAGGACAAAGCGAUGGACUUCAGUAAAACUUCACAAGCGGCGGCUGCUGCUUGGCUGCACCUUUCCUUUCAUUUGUUAUCUCUCGAGCCGGGGAGAUGAAAGGCGUCCGUCACUCAAUGGAAGCUAUUUACAUAAUAACAAGUAGGGCCCCAUUGAGACACCCCCCCUCCCUCCCCUUGUUUGCUGAUCAGCGCCUCUGCGUUUUUGGGCCUCGAGUUUCACCUGGGGGUGAAUCUCCCACCCGCGCCUUUUGCUUUUUUUUGUCCACAUCCUCGACAGUUCCACCGCUGCGCCACCACGGCCACCGCUCCACCUCUCUCGCCGCUUCGUGUCAAUUCCCCCCCCCCCCACACACACACCACCUCCUCCCCCCGCUCCCGACCCUUUUUUAAGCACCAAGGAGGCAGAUCCUGGGCCCGAAGAACAAUUUACAAACGCUGUCAUUUGGACAGCUGCUCCGAGGCGUAUUCAGAUAGGAGCAGCAUUGUCCUGACGAACCUCUCGCCCCUGUGUAAGAACGUCAAAAUGAAUGGCCAAUUGAAGCGAAACCCGCCUCCCGUCUCUGAUCGGAAUAAGUGUACCACAUAUCAAAGACAAUAUGUGAACGCAUUACCCAACAACAACAAAAAUCGUUUGAUCAUUUUUUAUGGCAUUAAACGGAGACAAAUGUUAAUGUGAUAUCAUAAAUCGCAGGGCGCUCCACCCAGCAGUGGAUUGAGCACGGAUGCAUGCGUGAUGAAUGCCAGCGUAACGCAAUAAGUCUAACUCGUUUGCGUGUAUCUGGAUAGUGAGCUAGAUGGGCUCGUCCGAAGGGGAUUAUUUUUGUAAACACGCGGUCACAGAAAAAAAAACACAUUUAACAUCCAUCGCUCUGCACGCACGGAGAGUUGUCGAAUGCGCGUGUUCUCUGUUUCGCUCGUCAACAUGGGGACGCUGAUAUUUGGACAGCGGCAGAAAUGGGUACGGAACGCCAAGGUUUGUGGUCCCGUGUGGUGGGGCAAAGUGUGGGUACUGUGUACCCAUUCAUAGGGGCACUCUUGGACUGGCUCUAGAUGUGCGCAAGUCAUUGCGGGGUUUGACUUUUACCUUCACGUAAAUAUUUAGAAUGUGAAAGUUUCGGAGUAAUUAAUCUUAAGAGCAGACUACGGUAGUUGAGGCUCUACAUUCUAAGCACAUAUAUGGAACGGUGAAUUACGCUGGAUACAACCGUGUUAAUUGCUUAGUUAUUGUGAUAGCUGUGUUUUUUUACACUGCAAAGUUAGGCUGUGAUUGUGUGAAUGCCUAACACCUCUUAAAAUACCAUGGGGGGUAAUACGCCUCUUGUGUCGCUGCAGCACCGCAUUGAGCACCGCUGUGGCAUUCUGUAAAUAUCGGUACAAGCGAGGCUGUGUAUGAUGUAAUAAUGCCUUGGUAGAAUGAAUCCCAGGUCAUGGCUGUAACUGUACAGUGUUGCUAUUAAGCUUUGUUUGAUGUUGUAACGAUCGUGUACGGAAUACAAAAAUACACAUUCCAGUCCAAGCGCAUAGUUUAAUAUUGCAAAGAUCAUUGAAGAUAGCAGCGGCUUCUUGGGGAGGUUGGCCUUCAUCCAGCAGUGGAUUUGGCCAUGGCUUUUGAUGAUGAUGAUGAUGGCAUUAGGGAGGUUGUGGGUUAGAUGCCACCAACCCUGACGCGAUGGCUGCUGUAUAUUUGAAGUUUGCAUGUCGAUUCUCCGGGUCCUCCCGUUUUUCUCUCGACACUAUUUUAGACUCAGCAUCACGCGUUUAGAGUAUUCGGUUUUGCUGCUGCUAUACAUUUCUACACGAUGUUUAGCCACUUCGCUGAGCAAUCAUAUGCGAUGGCCAGGUCGCUUCGAGAAAACGAGCUACGUAGCUCAGUGCGUUUUACCUGACGAUACAAAUUAAAUAAUAACAUUUUUUAAAAUAAAAUAGUGAAAAUAUACAACACAGGACUUAACACUUAAAAGGUCCCAAGCACGUGGGUUGUAGAAGUGGGAGGGGCUUGUUGGUGUCUGAGGGGCGGGGUCGG